AGGAUUUGGUUCUGAACCCGCCGGCUGAGACAGAGUCACUCAGACCCGUCUUUGUUGUUGCUGUUGACCGAGUUGAGUUCAGUUUCGGUUCGUGUCCAAACAAUAUCCACGCCCGAACCCCAAAAAAAAAAAAAAUUCACAAAAGUUUUGAGCUUUGGUAGCAAUGGCGGGUUUGACGAUUUCACCUCCUCUCGGUCUUUCCUUCUCUUCUCAAACUAGAAACGCUAAACCCACUUCGUAUCUAUCUCACAAUCAAAGAAAUCUAACAAGUCGUAUAGUUUCUGCGCUUCCAAGUCCGUAUGGCGAUUCAUUGAAAGCUGGACUUUCGGGUAAUGUCUCUACAAAGAUUGGCAACAAGGAUCAUCGUAGCAUUGAUCAAAGAUUUGGAGUGAUAGAGGCUAAGAAAGGAAACCCACCUGUAAUGCCAUCAGUGAUGACCCCUGGAGGACCUUUGGACCUUUCUUCAGUGUUAUUCCGCAACCGCAUAAUCUUCAUCGGACAACCCAUCAACGCACAAGUAGCUCAGCGUGUCAUAUCUCAGCUUGUAACCCUCGCUUCUAUUGAUGAUAAAUCCGACAUCUUGAUAUACUUGAAUUGCCCUGGAGGCAGCACCUACUCAGUGUUAGCGAUCUAUGACUGUAUGUCUUGGAUAAAGCCUAAGGUUGGAACAGUAGCGUUUGGAGUAGCAGCGAGUCAAGGAGCACUUCUUCUUGCUGGAGGUGAGAAAGGGAUGCGCUAUGCAAUGCCUAACACUCGUGUCAUGAUCCAUCAACCUCAAACUGGAUGCGGAGGACAUGUGGAGGAUGUGAGGAGACAGGUGAAUGAAGCCAUUGAAGCCAGACAAGUAAAAAAUUGAUAGGAUGUAUGCAGCCUUCACUGGACAAGCUCUUGAGACAGUGCAGCAGUACACUGAAAGAGAUCGUUUCUUAUCCGCUUCUGAGGCGCUUGAGUUUGGGCUGAUCGAUGGUUUACUGGAAACAGAAUACUGAAACAUCAUACAAGACAAUGAACAUAGACGGUUCACUGCAUGUUCAAAGCUUCCUAGUUUCAUUUGAAUUUGAACAGUUGUAACUGACUUUGUGCAUAAACCAAUUUGGUUUUCUUGGUUUUAGUGUCUACUAAACAGACUAAAACCAAGCUGCCUGUCUCAUUUUUCUAUUUGCGCUGAACCAAUAUGAAAACUUGUGUUCUAUUUACGUUAGGUUCAGCUUGUUA